ACGGAGGGGGCUAGCGUUGUUCGGAAUUACUGGGCGUAAAGCGCGCGUAGGCGGCUUUGUAAGUUAGAGGUGAAAGCCUGGAGCUCAACUCCAGAACUGCCUUUAAGACUGCAUCGCUAGAAUUGUGGAGAGGUGAGUGGAAUUCCGAGUGUAGAGGUGAAAUUCGUAGAUAUUAGGAAGAACACCAGUGGCGAAGGCGGCUCACUGGCUCGGUACUGACGCUGAGGUGCGAAAGCGUGGGGAGCAAACAGGA
rnacentral:rRNA from 1 species